AUGAUUUCAACAUAUUUUGUACGGCCAAUUUUACUAACAACCUAAAGGACAAGCAAUUUUAGAAACCCAUGUUGCUUGAAUGGGUUAAUUGAGAGCUUAAAAUAAUAUAAUCAUUGCAUUAUAUAUGAUAAGACAUGCCACAUUACCGAAACCAGCAAGUUUAACACCCAUAUAACUAAAAACUAAACAUGUUUAGCAAUCUUAUUCUUAGGCUGAUAGCAAAAACAUAACAACGAACAACAAUCCAUUGAAUAGAACAACAAUAACAUGCACCACUUCGGGGCCUAGGUUCUAGAGCUUCAAGGACAAAUCCAAUUUGAUGCUAGAUUCGCCACUCGAAGAGGAAAGAUUUAGUGAUAAAUCCAUCUCCACAUCAAAUGCACCCCCAAAUAUGGAGGACAUCUCAUAAUCAAAAAAUUCAAAAUCACUGCUAGGUAGCCCAUGAUUCAAGCUUAGAGGAAAGAACUUAAUCUCCCUUGCAGCCCUCUACGCAGCAUCAUCAGCAUCAUUUUCAUUGAUAAGUAAUGAAGUCAUGAUUGUAUUCCUCUUCUUUGCUAUGUGCAUAUGUAACUCCUAUAUUUUUUUUAAAAUGAAAUAUAAAUACAUUCCCAAAAAGAAGUGUUAUUGAUAAAGGCAUAAAACCACUUUAUAGAUCAAAGAAUGAGAUACAUACUCAUACAGUUUCAUAAUGAUUUUUGCAGAAUUUUGUGAAAAGUAGCAUAUAGGAUGAUUUUUUUCAAAUUUUUUAAUGUUUUACUUUGAGGGUGAUAGAGUAACAGAGCUUAGCAAUAUUCACUUCAUCGUGAAAAAGGUACAAUAGUCUAAUAAAUAGCUUAAUCACGGUCUUUUAAAAUUCCAAAGGAGUAUAUCUGAUUUUUUAACAUCUAAACAAUCAUAAACAACAUAUAAUAAGGUUAAAAUACUACACCUGACAAUUCUCGUUAGAACCGGAGACCAUAUUUAUUCUUGACUCAAGGACAACAUCGGUGGAUGGUCCAGGUGGUACUUCUGCGGUCAUAGCUUUCCUCUUUAGUUUUUACAAGAAACAUGCAAACAAACACAUCGGAUUGCAAACUUACAGUGUAAUUAUUGCAAAUUGCAAAUUAAAUACACAAAUAAAAAUAAUGAUAAAUUGAAAAUAUGGAUGGUUAGGUUUAUGAAUAGCUAGUUAGACCUUAUUGUCAAAACCAGCAAAGGUGUUGCUUGAUGCAUGUUUGGGCAUGGCUAGAUGGGUUGGUACCGGUUGUGCAUAACCACCAACAUGAGUUGGGUUUGCUAUAGGUGCAAAGCUCCUUGUGCGUUCCCUUCCAUCUAUGGCAUAUGGUUAUGGCAUUGUAGAUAGCAUCCUUUGUGUAGAACUCACAUAGCAAAGGUAGUAAUUCUGAACAUCUGUUGGAGGCUGAAAAUGAAAUAACCAAUGCAUCAUAAAUUUUCUGUACAUAGGGGAUAUUUUUGUAGGGUGAAAUAUAGUGAGCG
rnacentral:lncRNA from 1 species